rnacentral:rRNA from 1 species
GUCGAACGGCAGCACAGGAGAGCUUGCUCUCUGGGUGGCGAGUGGCGGACGGUUGAGGAAUACAUCGGAAUCUACUUUUUCGUGGGGGAUAACGUAGGGAAACUUACGCUAAUACCGCAUACGACCUACGGGUGAAAGCAGGGGACCUUCGGGCCUUGCGCGAUUGAAUGAGCCGAUGUCGGAUUAGCUAGUUGGCGGGGUAAAGGCCCACCAAGGCGACGAUCCGUAGCUGGUCUGAGAGGAUGAUCAGCCACACUGGAACUGAGACACGGUCCAGACUCCUACGGGAGGCAGCAGUGGGGAAUAUUGGACAAUGGGCGCAAGCCUGAUCCAGCCAUACCGCGUGGGUGAAGAAGGCCUUCGGGUUGUAAAGCCCUUUUGUUGGGAAAGAAAUCCAGCUGGCUAAUACCCGGUUGGGAUGACGGUACCCAAAGAAUAAGCACCGGCUAACUUCGUGCCAGCAGCCGCGGUAAUACGAAGGGUGCAAGCGUUACUCGGAAUUACUGGGCGUAAAGCGUGCGUAGGUGGUCGUUUAAGUCCGUUGUGAAAGCCCUGGGCUCAACCUGGGAACUGCAGUGGAUACUGGGCGACUAGAGUGUGGUAGAGGGUAGCGGAAUUCC